rnacentral:lncRNA from 1 species
GCGGCUGGGGUUCAUUCUUCGGCUAACCUGCACAAAAAAGGAUGGUGAGCACAAUGAUUAAAGAAUCGCAUGAAAUGGAAGUAGUAAGGGGCUCAUCAGAGGAAUUUUUGGGUUUUGGCCUUGGCAUCUCCACCAGAUUUUAUCCGUAGUUUUUGACUCACCCAUUAUCCCUCUUGCUCUGAUAUGUCCACAGGGAGGCUUGAAAUCGAAUUCUGAGCGAAUAGAGAGAAAUUUUACCCUUUUUGGCGGUCGGCAGUGGCUCUGGUGCGACG